rnacentral:rRNA from 1 species
UGCAGUCGAGGGGCAUCAGUUUGGUUUGCUUGCAAACCAAAGCUGGCGACCGGCGCACGGGUGAGUAACACGUAUCCAACCUGCCUCAUACUCGGGGAUAGCCUUUCGAAAGAAAGAUUAAUAUCCGAUAGCAUAUAUUUCCCGCAUGGGUUUUAUAUUAAAGAAAUUCGGUAUGAGAUGGGGAUGCGUUCCAUUAGUUUGUUGGGGGGGUAACGGCCCACCAAGACUACGAUGGAUAGGGGUUCUGAGAGGAAGGUCCCCCACAUUGGAACUGAGACACGGUCCAAACUCCUACGGGAGGCAGCAGUGAGGAAUAUUGGUCAAUGGACGCGAGUCUGAACCAGCCAAGUAGCGUGAAGGAUGACUGCCCUAUGGGUUGUAAACUUCUUUUAUAUGGGAAUAAAGUUGUCCACGUGUGGAUUUUUGUAUGUACCAUAUGAAUAAGGAUCGGCUAACUCCGUGCCAGCAGCCGCGGUAAUACGGAGGAUCCGAGCGUUAUCCGGAUUUAUUGGGUUUAAAGGGAGCGUAGGCGGAUUGUUAAGUCAGUUGUGAAAGUUUGCGGCUCAACCGUAAAAUUGCAGUUGAUACUGGCAGUCUUGAGUGCAGUAGAGGUGGGCGGAAUUCGUGGUGUAGCGGUGAAAUGCUUAGAUAUCACGAAGAACUCCGAUUGCGAAGGCAGCUCACUGGAGUGUAACUGACGCUGAUGCUCGAA